rnacentral:sRNA from 1 species
AGUGUAAAAGGGUAGACUUAGGAUCAUCAUUGAGUUUAGAGAUAGGACAAUCUACUUGUUAUGCACGGUUUGUGUCAUUGGGUAGAUGAGAUGUUAUUCUUGUAUGCAUAGGUUGGCACUUACCUUUAGCAUUCUUCUAAACUCAGUCUUUUUUCAUUAAGAGUUCAAUGUUAUUAAAAUCCGAACCACUUAAAAGGGACCAUCUUUGUCUCGUAACAUAUCCUUAGCCAAAAGAGUUCACUAGCGAUGCAUAUCUUGAUUCAUGUUUUUGAACUUUAUGAACGUUAAAGGGAUUGGUUGAUAUUGACGCAUUGUGCAAUUGAGUGUAGGUUUGGAUCAUAACAGAGCAUGGCUAAAGUUUUUUAAGUAGAAGUCGAUCACCUCGCGUCUUAGAACUUUUAGCUUGUACAUUGAUCUUAAUUGUCAUAUCUCAUGCUUUGGUUCUGAGUCCCCAAAUUCAAACCUCUCCUUCAACCUAUGUCUUCUUGUUUGCUUGAGGGCAAGCAAAGACUAAGUUUGGAGGAAAGUAUAUGUCUUUAAUU